AUCGAGAUAGUUCAACUGGUAGAACAUCUGUCCGGUAGGCGGAACGUCGCCCGUUCGUUUCCGGCUCGCGGUG
rnacentral:tRNA from 1 species